AGCUGGAUAGCUCAAUUGGUACAGUAUGAGACUCUUAAUCCCAAGGUUGUGGCUUCAAGCCCCAUGUCGGGUG